AGAUUGAACGCUAGCGGGAUGCUUUACACAUGCAAGUCGAACGGCAGCGCGGACUUCGGUCUGGCGGCGAGUGGCGAACGGGUGAGUAAUAUAUCGGAACGUGCCCAGUAGCGGGGGAUAACUACGCGAAAGCGUGGCUAAUACCGCAUACGCCCUACGGGGGGAAAGGGGGGGAUCGCAAGACCUCUCACUAUUGGAGCGGCCGAUAUCAGAUUAGCUAGUUGGUGAGGUAAAGGCUCACCAAGGCGACGAUCUGUAGCUGGUUUGAGAGGACGACCAGCCACACUGGGACUGAGACACGGCCCAGACUCCUACGGGAGGCAGCAGGUGGGAAUUUGGACAAGUGGGGGAAACCUGAUCCAGCCAUCCCGCGUGUGCGAUGGAAGGUCCGUUCGGGUUAGUAAACGUACGUACGUUUUU
rnacentral:rRNA from 1 species